AUGCAAGUCGAGGGGCAGCACUAUGAGCUAGCAAUACGAGCUUGGUGGCGACCGGCGCACGGGCUGCGUAACGCGUAUGCAACCUACCCUUCAGAGGAGAAUAACCCGGAGAAAUUCGGACUAAUACUCCGUAUUUAUCUUUUGAGGCAUCUCAGAAAUAUGAAAGAUUUAUCGCUGAAGGAUGGGCAUGCGUGACAUUAGGAAGUUGGUGAGGUAACGGCUCACCAAUCCUACGAUGUCUAGGGGAACUGAGAGGUUUAUCCCCCACACUGGUACUGAGACACGGACCAGACUCCUACGGGAGGCAGCAGUGAGGAAUAUUGGUCAAUGGGCGCAAGCCUGAACCAGCCAUGCCGCGUGCAGGAUGACGGCUCUAUGAGUUGUAAACUGCUUUUAUACGAGAGUAAUGUCAUCUACGUGUAGGUGAUUGCAAGUAUCGUAAGAAUAAGGAUCGGCUAACUCCGUGCCAGCAGCCGCGGUAAUACGGAGGAUCCGAGCGUUAUCCGGAUUUAUUGGGUUUAAAGGGUGCGUAGGCGGGAUUUUAAGUUAGUCGUUAAAUCUCGGGGCUUAACCCCGACGGUGCGAUUAAUACUGGAUUUCUAGAGAUUAGAUGCAGAGGGCGGAAUGUGUAGUGUAGCGGUGAAAUGCUUAGAUAUUACACAGAACACCGAUUGCGAAGGCAGCUCUCUAAUCUACAUCUGACGCUGAGGCACGAAAGCGUGGGGAUCAAACAGGAUUAGAUACCCUGGUAGUCCACGCUGUAAACGAUGAUAACUCGUUGUCGGCGAUACACAGUCGGUGACCAAGCGAAAGCGAUAAGUUU
rnacentral:rRNA from 1 species